rfam:TPA: Bos taurus chromosome 9, whole genome shotgun sequence.
UUCCUGAUAGCUUAGUUGGUAAAGAACCUGCCUGAAAUACAGGAGGCCCCAGUUCGAUUCCUGGGUCAGGAA